rnacentral:rRNA from 1 species
UUGACAUCCAGCGAACUUUCCAGAGAUGGAUUGGUGCCUUCGGAACGCUGAGACAGGUGCUGCAUGGCUGUCGUCAGCUCGUGUUGUGAAAUGUUGGGUUAAGUCCCGNAACGAGCGCAACCCUUAUCCUUUGUUGCCAGCGAUUCGGUCGGGAACUCAAAGGAGACUGCCGGUGAUAAACCGGAGGAAGGUGGGGAUGACGUCAAGUCAUCAUGGCCCUUACGAGUAGGGCUACACACGUGCUACAAUGGCGCAUACAAAGAGAAGCGACCUCGCGAGAGCAAGCGGACCUCAUAAAGUGCGUCGUAGUCCGGAUCGGAGUCUGCAACUCGACUCCGUGAAGUCGGAAUCGCUAGUAAUCGUGGAUCAGAAUGCCACGGUGAAUACGUUCCCGGGCCUUGUACACACCGCCCGUCACACCAUGGGAGUGGGUUGCAAAAGAAGUAGGUAGCUUAACCUUCGGGAGGGCGCUUACCACUUUGUGAUUCAUGACUGGGGUGAAGUCGUAACAAGGUAAGCGUAGCGAG